rnacentral:rRNA from 1 species
GUAGGGAAUAUUGCGCAAUGGGGGAAACCCUGACGCAGCAACGCCGCGUGAGUGAGGAAGGUCUUCGGAUUGUAAAACUCUUUUAUUAGGGAAAAAUGUCUAGGUGGCUAAUAUCCACUUAGAGUGAUGGUACCUAAGGAAUAAGCACCGGCUAACUUCGUGCCAGCAGCCGCGGUAAUACGAAGGGUGCAAGCGUUGUUCGGAAUCAUUGGGCGUAAAGCGCGCGCAGGCGGGUCAGUAAGUCAGGUGUGAAAUCUCGGAGCUCAACUCCGAAACUGAGCCUGAAACUAUUGGUCUAGAGUAUCGGAGGGGACAGGGGAAUUUCACGUGUAGGGGUAAAAUCCGUAGAGAUGUGAAGGAACACCGGAGGCGAAGGCGCCUGUCUGGACGAUUACUGACGCUGAGGCGCGAAAGCGUGGGGAGCAAACAGGAUUAGAAACCCGGGUAGUCC